AGAAAAAACACGGGGUGCUGAGAAAUUGGCUGAGAUUAUACCCACAUUAACCUGAUGCAGGUAAUGCUGCCGGAGGGAAUUGAUAUAACCUAUAAUA
rnacentral:ncRNA from 1 species